rnacentral:rRNA from 1 species
GAUGUACGCUGGCGGCGUGCCUAAUACAUGCAAGUCGAGCGAACGGACGAGAAGCUUGCUUCUCUGAUGUUAGCGGCGGACGGGUGAGUAACACGUGGAUAACCUACCUAUAAGACUGGGAUAACUUCGGGAAACCGGAGCUAAUACCGGAUGAUAUUUUGAACCGCAUGGUUCAAUAGUGAAAGACGGUCUUGCUGUCACUUAUAGAUGGAUCCGCGCUGCAUUAGCUAGUUGGUAAGGUAACGGCUUACCAAGGCAACGAUGCAUAGCCGACCUGAGAGGGUGAUCGGCCACACUGGAACUGAGACACGGUCCAGACUCCUACGGGAGGCAGCAGUAGGGAAUCUUCCGCAAUGGGCGAAAGCCUGACGGAGCAACGCCGCGUGAGUGAUGAAGGUCUUCGGAUCGUAAAACUCUGUUAUUAGGGAAGAACAUAUGUGUAAGUAACUGUGCACAUCUUGACGGUACCUAAUCAGAAAGCCACGGCUAACUACGUG